rnacentral:piRNA from 1 species
UAUCAAUUCAGAAAAUAAAAA